CGGAGGGUGCAAGCGUUAUCCGGAUUCGACUGGGUUUAAAGGGUGCGUAGGUGGGCAGGUAAGUCAGUGGUGAAAUCUCCGGGCUUAACCCGGAAACUGCCGUUGAUACGUAUCUGUCUUGAAUAUCGUGGAGGUUAGCGGAAUAUGUCAUGUAGCGGUGAAAUGCUUAGAUAUGACAUAGAACACCCAUUGCGAAGGCAGCUAACUACACGAUCAUUGACACUGAGGCACGAAAGCGUGGGGAGCAAACAGGAUUAGAUACCCUGGUAGUCCACGCCCUAAACGAUGGAUACUCGACAUCAGCGAUUACACUGUUGGUGUCUGAGCGAAAGCAUUAAGUAUCCCACCUGGGAAGUACGACCGCAAGGUUG
rnacentral:rRNA from 1 species